GCACGGAGUUAGCCGGGGCUUAUUCUCCCGGUACUGUCAUUAUCAUCCCGGGUAAAAGAGCUUUACAACCCUAAGGCCUUCAUCACUCACGCGGCAUUGCUGGAUCAGGCUUUCGCCCAUUGUCCAAUAUUCCCCACUGCUGCCUCCCGUAGGAGUCUGGGCCGUGUCUCAGUCCCGGUGUGGCUGAUCAUCCUCUCAGACCAGCUAAGGAUCGUCGCCUUGGUGAGCUUUUACCUCACCAACAAGCUAAUCCUACGCGGGCUCAUCCCUGGGCGAUAAAUCUUUGGACCGAAGUCAUCAUCCGGUAUUAGCAGUCGUUUCCAACUGUUGUUCCGAACCCAAGGGCAGAUUCCCACGCGUUACGCACCCGUGCGCCACUAGACCCGAAGGUCUCGUUCGACUUGCAUGUGUUAGGCAUGCCGCCAGCGUUCGUU
rnacentral:rRNA from 1 species